UACGUAGGGGGCAAGCGUUGUCCGGAAUCAUUGGGCGUAAAGAGCGUGUAGGCGGCCCGGUAAGUCCGCUGUGAAAGUCGAGGGCUCAACCCUCGAAAGCCGGUGGAUACUGUCGGGCUAGAGUGCGGAAGAGGCGAGUGGAAUUCCUGGUGUAGCGGUGAAAUGCGCAGAUAUCAGGAGGAACACCAAUUGCGAAGGCAGCUCGCUGGGACGUUACUGACGCUGAGACGCGAAAGCGUGGGGGAGCAAACAGG
rnacentral:rRNA from 1 species